GAUAAACGCUGGCGGCGUGCUUAACACAUGCAAGUCGAACGAAGUUUUUCUUUCGGGAGGAAAUUAGUGGCGGACGGGUGAGUAACGCGUGGGUAACCUGCCCUGUACAGGGGGACAACAGCUGGAAACGGCGGCUAAUACCGCAUAAGCCCUUAGCACUGCAUGGUGCAUAGGGAAAAGGAGCAAUCCGGUACAGGAUGGACCCGCGUCUGAUUAGCCAGUUGGCAGGGUAACGGCCUACCAAAGCGACGAUCAGUAGCCGAUCUGAGAGGAUGUACGGCCACAUUGGGACUGAGACACGGCCCAGACUCCUACGGGAGGCAGCAGUGGGGAAUAUUGCACAAUGGAGGAAACUCUGAUGCAGCGACGCCGCGUGAGUGAAGAAGUAUUUCGGUAUGUAAAGCUCUAUCAGCAGGAAAGAAAAUGACGGUACCUGACUAAGAAGCACCGGCUAAAUACGUG
rnacentral:rRNA from 1 species